rnacentral:rRNA from 1 species
UGCAGUCGAACGAGACCUUCGGGUCUAGUGGCGCACGGGUGAGUAACGCGUGGAAACCUACCAUUCUGUACGGAAUAACGAUUGGAAACGAUCGCUAAUACCGUAUACGCCCUGUGGGGGAAAGGUCCGCCGCAGAAUGAGGGGUCCGCGUCCGAUUAGCUUGUUGGUGGGGUAAAAGCCUACCAAGGCGAUGAUCGGUAGCUGGUCUGAGAGGAUGAUCAGCCACACUGGGACUGAGACACGGCCCAGACUCCUACGGGAGGCAGCAGUGGGGAAUAUUGGACAAUGGGGGCAACCCUGAUCCAGCAAUGCCGCGUGUGUGAAGAAGGCCUUAGGGUUGUAAAGCACUUUCAAUGGUGAAGAUGAUGACGGUAGCCGUAGAAGAAGCCCCGGCUAACUUCGUGCCAGCAGCCGCGGGUAAUACGAAGGGGGGCGAGCCGUUGUUCGGAAUUACUGGGCCGUAAAGGGCGCGCCAGGCCGGCCAAUUCCAAGUCAGGUGUGAAAGCCCCCGGGCUUAACCUUGGGAACUUGCACUUGGAUACUGGAUUGGCUAGAAAAACGGAAGAAGGGCAGUGGAAUUCCCAGUGG